ensembl:lncRNA
CUUCUUGUUAAGUAGAAAAUGUAUCAAAAGCCCAAGAGGAAAGACCUGACAUGGUAUAAUAUUUUUUGAGUGAAACAAUCAUCAGAAAUAUAAGCAAAAAUAGAAGAGAACAAGAAAAGGGAGAGAAAGAAGAAAAAAAAAAAGACUUAUGGAAGAUCAGAAAAGACUUCAGCUACAAAAAAGGAUGAAAAUGUCAUGAAGAUGGGCUUGAACAAGAUAGGUCAAAAUGGUGGUAUGGAUUGGGGAUUUCCCCUUCCUUUCAGUAUGCUCCUUAUCUUGUUACAUAGUAUACUAAACAUUAGUUACUACUAGGGGAAGGAAGUUUUCUUCCCUCCCUUAGUUACCCAUCAGGUCAAGCCACGGUAGCAGCUCAUCUAACCUGCAGAAAUUUGGACAAAGUCCAAAAGGUCAAUGAAAAGCCAUGUGUAUGAUCACUGCAGUCACUGGCUCUUUCCCUCCACAUUUACAGAGCAACUGAGUAGGUGUAUAGUGUUUGUGUUUGUAUAUAUAUGGCUAUGUGUUUAUAUACAUGUCUCUAUACAUACAGACACAAUACACAUACUUAACAUUGAUCAAGGGUCAAUAGUGUGCAGGGUGUGUACACCUUCAUCUUCUGCACUACAUUUACAAAAAAAAAAAAAAGAAGAAAAAAGGAAAAAAGAAAAAUGAAGAAAAAAACGGAACAAAAAAAUUAAUGAAAGAAUAAAAGUUACAUUCUGUAAAGGUGCUUACAAUGUUAGAACUAUGCAACCUAGAUGGUUUGAAACUGUUUACCUGCAAGAGAAAGAAAAAAAAAAAAAAAAAAAAAAAAAGAAAAAGAAAAAAAAGAAAAAAGAUAGCACAAUAUAACCCAGUCACACUGGCUAGGGAUAGUGUGUUAGCACCUUCAUGGCAAGAACCAUGUUUAAACAGUGUAAUCAGGGCCUUCAUUUUUUGUCAGCCAAAACUGUUUGUGUGUGCAUGUGUGCGUGUGUGUUCUCUGCGUGUGCAGAUGUGUGUGCGCAUGGGCGCAUGUCUGUAUUUGUAUGUAUCUAUAGAGAUAAAAAUGAAAAGGGAAAAAAAAAAGAAAAAAAAAGAAAGAGAAAAAAAAAUAGCCCUUUCCUCUGUUGAAUAAGUAUCAACAUACAUGCAUAUAGCUAAGUUUUCUAUCUAAUUUAUUCCACAAUAUUUAGAUUGCAUAGUACAGCUAAUGGGUUAUACAUUUAUGUACUUUUUAUACAACACAGUUUUUUUACAGACUUGUUUGCAAUUUGCAAAAAAAAAAGUUGAAAAAAUAUAAUUGGUUAAACACUAAAUUUGUCACUGAAGUGUUCUGUAAAAUAUCAAGGCUUUCUGAUUUAAAUUAUUUACAGAAGUUUGUUGGGUUUUUUGUGUUUUCUUCCUGGGGAAAGUGAGGGAUACCAAAUGCUAGUAGGAAAAUUUUCAUGAAAAAAAAAGGAUGGACAACUAAUUUAUCUUUAUAAAUUUAACGAAGUUCUUGGCCCUGCUUAUUUGAAGCAUGUGGCAGAAUUUCUGUCAAUUUUUCUAGAAGCAGAGCCAGCCUUUGGAGCAGCGGGAACAGGGACGCAGUCUGUGAGAGUUGUUGAGGAUACCAUUUAGUUCACUGGUCUUUGUACUUGGCCUUAAAAUUGGGUGCCCCAGAACUCUUAUUUAUAUCAUCAGAUGUCCCAGAAUGGUUACUUGUGUCAACAGGCCCUUUGAUGUCAACUGGCCUCCUUACAAGAUCAGUAAAACUACUUACAUGAGUAAAGCUGUGCCAGGGUGAAUGACAGGUUCCUUCUGCUGUGGGCACUAUCAAGGGAGAGAAAGGAUUCUGAGUGAAUGGCACCACAGCCAAUGCUGUUUAAUCCAAUUAUUUGAAUGAGGCUGUUUGCAUCAUGGUGGAUCUGAACACAGUGGUAAGGGAAACAGGUCAGAUGGCUCCCAUUGAUAAAAUUUAUUCUCAACAGUGAUUACUUAGAGAGCAUUGGAGACCAGAAAUCCCCGAACCUUCCCGUAGAUGACAAUGGCAAAACUCCCAUUGGCUGCUAGCAAAGUUGGUUUAGAAAAACUCAUGGUUUUUCUGGCUAAAGGAGAAAGACCCUUUAAAAAAUAAUUCUCAUCCUGAAUUUGAUAGCAGAUGUAAUGUGAUGAAUAGGGACUGGCCUGAAAAACAUGAAACUCGCCUGAGACAACUUCCAAGUGAGGAAAGAAUAUAGGAUUUUAGAUAUUGUGAGCAUGUUUCAUGAUAGCUAUACCAAAAACAGAAAAAAGUUUUCAAAUCAAGAAGUAAGUGUUCCAAGCCCUAUUUUUUUAGCUUGCAUUUGUAUGUGUAUACUGGUCACAAAUUUAAAAGAUUUCUCCCUCCAAUCUCUAUCAUCAGUCAUGGGGUUUUGAUUUGUGGUCAGAGUUAUUUAAAGUAGGGGGAAAUGAAAAACUGUAUGAUAAAGUAAAAUAAGAAAUUUGGAUGUUAAUCAAGACUGAAUGAUUCCAGCAAAAUAGCCCAUCCCUGAUAAUUUGAUUUAAUUAAAUCUGCAUGUACUUAAAAUAGCAUUAGAAAUUGUUACCAUAUUUAAGCAGUUGUUCUAGGGCAUGCAGCCUUAAAAAUUACUUCUCCUUUCAGGUAUGACUGUACCAAAAAAAGAAAGAAAGGCUCUUAACUACUAACACAUUCCUUUCCAUAUAACCUACUUACUGUUUAUAUUGAAAAUACAUUUUCAGUAUAUAUUUAAUCACAGAAAUGUAUUUGUUUAGUGCCUCCAUAAUCUUAUUGCUUGAGAGCUGACCACAUUUGGUUGUCUUUUCACAUCUCCAUGUCAGAUGCUCUGGUUACAAAGCCUAAGAAACUGGCAUAAGUGCAUGCUAAGAUGUUUCUUUGGGAGGGCUGAAUGUAUUUGUAUCCUUUAGAUUUAGCAAAAGGAAAUGCUUACAGAUGCUUGUAAUUAUUAUGCACUCAUGGUCUAGUGCCCAAAACUGUAAAAUUGAAUGAAAUGGGAGUUUUGUCAUUGACUUCAAUAGAAACACUCUCCUACCAAAUCACUACAGAGUAGGGUUGCAUUAUAUAUACCUCCUUUUUUUUGUAUUUAGUUGAGAAAUAAGCUGUCAAAUUCAUUUAACAGUGACACCACAAGACCAUGUAGAGGCUAGCAGCAAUAUCUCUUAGGCAGAGAACUUCAGGCAUCUGUAAAGUUUAUGUGCAAAAUUAAAAAUUGAUGGACUAUAGUUACUCAUGUGGAAUUGUGCCUUACUCUGUAAGCAAUGCCAUUGAUUUUCAGAGGGUCUCCUUUCCUAGAAAGUUACCAGUCAGCAUCAAUAAAUUGAGAAAAAUCUAUUUCUGAAGUAUAGGU